CUACGUGCCAGCAGCCGCGGUAAUACGUAUGUCACAAGCGUUAUCCGGAUUUAUUGGGCGUAAAGCGCGUCUAGGUGGUUAUGUAAGUCUGAUGUGAAAAUGCAGGGCUCAACUCUGUAUUGCGUUGGAAACUGCAUGACUAGAGUACUGGAGAGGUAAGCGGAACUACAAGUGUAGAGGUGAAACUCGUAGAUAUUUGUAGGAAUGCCGAUGGGGAAGCCAGCUUACUGGACAGAUACUGACGCUAAAGCGCGAAAGCGUGGGUAGCAAACAGGAUUAGAUACCCUGGUAGUCCACGCCGUAAACGAUGAUUACUAGGUGUUGGGGGUCGAACCUCAGCGCCCAAGCUAACGCGAUAAGUAAUCCGCCUGGGGAGUACGUACGCAAGUAUGAAACUCAAAGGAAUUGACGGGGACCCGCACAAGCGGUGGAGCAUGUGGUUUAAUUCGACGCAACGCGAGGAACCUUACCAGCGUUUGACACC
rnacentral:rRNA from 1 species